rnacentral:rRNA from 1 species
AUUGAACGCUGGCGGCAUGCUUUACACAUGCAAGUCGAACGGGGUUGGAGCUUGCUCCAAUCUAGUGGCGAACGGGUGAGUAAUAUAUCGGAACGUACCCGGCAAUGGGGGAUAACGUAGCGAAAGUUACGCUAAUACCGCAUAUGCCCUGAGGGGGAAAGCAGGGGACCAGCAAUGGCCUUGCGUUGUCGGAGCGGCCGAUAUCGGAUUAGCUAGUUGGUGAGGUAAAGGCUCACCAAGGCGACGAUCCGUAGCGGGUCUGAGAGGAUGAUCCGCCACACUGGGACUGAGACACGGCCCAGACUCCUACGGGAGGCAGCAGUGGGGAAUUUUGGACAAUGGGGGAAACCCUGAUCCAGCCAUGCCGCGUGAGUGAAGAAGGCCUUCGGGUUGUAAAGCUCUUUCAGGUGGAAAGAAAAAGUUGCAGAUAAUACCUGCAACUGAUGACGGUACCAUCAGAAGAAGCACCGGCUAACUACGUGCCAGCAGCCGCAGUAA